rnacentral:rRNA from 1 species
AUUGAACGCUGGCGGCAGGCCUAACACAUGCAAGUCGAGCGGGGUUUUCGGACCUAGCGGCGGACGGGUGAGUAAUGCGUAGGAAGCUGCCCGAUAGAGGGGGAUACCAGUUGGAAACGACUGUUAAUACCGCAUAAUGUCUACGGACCAAAGUGUGGGACCUUCGGGCCACAUGCUAUCGGAUGCGCCUACGUGGGAUUAGCCAGUUGGUGAGGUAAUGGCUCACCAAGGCGACGAUCCCUAGCUGGUUUGAGAGGAUGAUCAGCCACACUGGAACUGAGACACGGUCCAGACUCCUACGGGAGGCAGCAGUGGGGAAUAUUGGACAAUGGGCGCAAGCCUGAUCCAGCCAUGCCGCGUGUGUGAAGAAGGCCUUCGGGUUGUAAAGCACUUUCAGCGAGGAGGAAGGGGUGAGUGUUAAUAGUACUCAUCUUUGACGUUACUCGCAGAAGAAGCACCGGCUAACUCUGUGCCAGCCGCCGCUGUAAUAC